AAGAGGAAGCGCCAUAGCUUAGCUGGCUAGCGGGUGGCAAACCGCGGGCCGGCCCCUGGGCUUCGCCGGUCGGCGGGGUUUGGCUGUGCGGUCCCUGCAUGCUCUCGGGCUAGCCGCACACAGACUCAUGCACACUAGUGUGAAAUCCAGCAGGCUGUUAGCUGGAGAGCCGGGUCUGGAUGCGGCAUGGAAGGACUCAGGGUUGCUUUUUGGUAUAAUGUCGUGGCAAAUACUUCUGCAAAUCAGAAUAAGAAAAUGACUUACAAAGACAAGGGGUUCUGGAUGCCAAAAAUCAACAGAUAUUAUUGAAUCAAGCAGCAAAGCCGAGAUGGAGCAUCUGAUUUACAUAGUCGUGGCUCAUGCUUGUAUACAAUUCUAAAACAAUGAUCUCAGGUGGAGGUGCAUGGGACGCAGGGUCAUGAGGAAAAAGUCUGAAUAUGUCUGCACUAAGGUGUUCAAAGACCUAUCUGCUGUAGAAAAUGCUUGAUAAGUGUAAGACGUGGUUCGCCUCAUAGAAACAUGAAAAAAAAAUAUAUUCAAAUGGCUUAGAAUAAACAGGACUGAGCUGAUUCUCAGUACAACCCGAGCUUCUGCUUCUGUCUGACCAACUGACCAUAUUUGGACUAGGCCUCCUCCAACAGACCCUUUAACUAUUUAAGGCUCCAAACAUCUUGUUGCCAGCUGUUCAUUAAUGUAAGACGUAUUUAAGACUUAAUCCCUUCAGCAGUGAUGGAAAACAGAGUAGUUUAGAAUAAGGCCUUGUAUCCUCUUAGCCAUCAUGCAAAAGAGCCCAUGGGUCCUUGAGCUGGUUAUAGAAUAUAGCAGGAGUGAGUGAUUGACUGAACGGUUGAUUAAUUCACUGAUUGAUUUUUAUUUAUUUUAUUAUUUGUUUGUUUGUAUAUGUGAGUAAUUGCCAUCCUACUUGAGCACAUAACCACAAUACUGUGUGGAAAAUAUAUGAAUGACCAAACAAGACAUUCAUUUUCAGAAAAACACCAUAUCUAAAUAUUUUGGAAAAUUACCACUGAAAUGUUUUUUAGAACCUCUAAAGUUUCAAUAGCAUAUAUGAUGCGUAAUACAUACAGAAGGGAAAGAUUAACUUUAUAUGCAAUACAAAUCUUUGGUAUUCUAAAUAAAAUAAUAAACCAUUUCUUAAUUUUGAAACUUUGCUGAGGACACACAGCAAUGGUGUAAUGUUAUGUAUUUGCCUAAAAGGUCUUCAUCACUACGAAUCAUUGUACACUGGUGUUUCCCCCAUCCUCUCCUUCACCUAAUGGAAAGUGAAACACUCCAGGACCCAAUCCUUUUAAUGAAAAUACUGCAUUAAUUUUAUUUUGUGAUGUGUCAUUGUAAUUCAAGUGAUGGUUUUUAAUCUUCAGAUUGCCUCUGCACAAGGCAUUUCAGAAAUAUUUGGCAGCAGCCCAUCUUCCCCCUCCACCGUUUUACUGAAUGCCCGUCAAAGAUGAGCAUUAAAAAGGCCCGCUUUAUUUGAAUAAACUAUUCAGGGUUUUAAAAAGGCAUGGUGUAAGGUAUGUAAAUGGGAUGAAACAAAGUGGCCGUGUGUAGUUUCCAUGUCUGGAUGUUUCAAAGCAGUGCAUCU